rnacentral:tRNA from 1 species
CAAAACGUAGCUUAACUAAAGCAUCCCGCUUACACCGGGAAAUUAUCUGUCAAACCCAGAUCGCUUUGA